rnacentral:rRNA from 1 species
UACGAAGGUCCCGAGCGUUGUUCGGAAUCACUGGGCGUAAAGGGAGCGUAGGCGGCGUGGUAAGUCAGAUGUGAAAUCCCGGGGCUCAACCCCGGAACUGCAUCCGAUACUGCCGUGCUAGAGUUUUGGAGAGGUAGCUGGAAUUCACGGUGUAGCAGUGAAAUGCGUAGAUAUCGUGAGGAACACUCGUGGCGAAAGCGAGCUACUGGACAACAACUGACGCUGAGGCUCGAAGGCCAGGGGAGCGAAAGGG